CCAAAGGCUCUUUUAAGAGCCACCAAUAUUUUCAAGAUUUUUUUUU
rfam:Pelecanus crispus contig22732, whole genome shotgun sequence.